AGGGCACCACCAGGAGUGGAGCCUGCGGCUUAAUUUGACUCAACACGGGAAAACUCACCCGGCCCGGACACCGUAAGGAUUGACAGAUUGAUAGCUCUUUCAUGAUUCGGUGGUUGGUGGUGCAUGGCCGCUCUUAGUUCGUGGAUCGAUUUGUCUGGUUUAUUCCGAUAACGAGCGAGACUCUAGCCUACUAAAUAGUAAACGGGGAUUACUUUUUGGUCCCGGUUGCUUCUUAGAGGGGAUUUUUCGGGUGUUUUAGCCCGCAACGAGAUUUGAGCAAUUAACAAGUUCUGUGGGAUGCCCCUUUAGAUGUCCGGGGGCUGGCACCCGCCGCCCUACACUUGGCGAAAAUCUCAGCGGUGUCCGUGAUUCAUUUCUCCGGAAAGGGGAUAUUGGUAAAACCCCAAUGGAAAAUUUUGGCGUGUGCUUUGGGAUCUCGAAAAUUUGCGCAUUAUAUUUUCCCGUGAAACCAGAGAAUUUCAAGGUAAGUGUGCGCAGAUGUAUCUCACACUCUGCCUC
rnacentral:rRNA from 1 species